rnacentral:pre_miRNA from 1 species
UCUUAUGGAUGAACAAAGAAAAUGGUUUCUCAAGAUAUAAUCUAUUCUUGCUAAAGAUGUUGUGAA